GUGAAGUUCAAAUGAGGAUACCUAGACACCCAGAGACGAGGAAGGGCAUAAUAAAUGACGAAAUGCUUCGGGGAGUUGAAAAUAAGCAUAGAUUCGGAGACUCCUAAAUAGGCCAACCUUUCGAACUACUGCUGAAUCCAUAGGCAGGCAAGAGAUAACAUGGUGAACUAAAACAUCUUAGUAGCUAGAGGAAAAGAAAGCAAAAGCGAUUCCCAUAGUAGUGGCGAGUGAAAUGGGAGCAGCCUAAACCGUGAAAACAGGGUUGUGGGAAAGGAAUACAGGCAUCGUGCUACUAAGUAAAGCAGUGGAAUGCUGCACCCUAGAUGGAGAGAGUCCAAUAGUCAAAAGUAUCACUAGCUUACACUCUGACUUGAGUAGCAUGGGACACAUGGAAUCCUGUGUGAAUUACCAAGGACCACCAUGCAACGCUAAAUACUCCUCGGUGACCGAUAGUGAAGUAGUACCGUGAGGGAAGGGUGAAAAUAACCCCUGUCGGAGAGUGAAAUAACACAUGAAACCAUAAGCUCCCAAGCAGUGCGAGGAGACUAGGGCUUUGACCGUGUGCCUAUUGAAGAAUGAGCUGACGACUUAUAGGCAGUGGCUUGGUUAAGGGAACCCACCGAAGCCGUAGCAAAAGUGAGUCUUCAUAGGGCAACUGUCACUGCUUAUGGAUCCAAACUUGGGUGAUCUAUCCAUGACCAGGAUGAAGCUUGGGUGAAACUAAGUGGAGGUCUAAACCAAAUGAUGUUGAAGAAUCAGUGGAUGAGUUGUGGUUAGGGGUGAAAUGCCACUUGAACCCACAGUUAGCUGAUUCUCCCCGAAAUGCAUGGAGGUGCAGCAGUUGACUAGACAUCUAGGGGUAAAGCAUUGUUUCGUUGUAGGCCACGACAGCGGUACCAAACCGAGGCAAACUCUGAAUACUAGAUAUGACCUCAAAAUAAUAGGGGUCAAGGUUGGCUAGUGAGACAAUGGGGGAUAAGCUUCAUCGUCGAAAGGGAAACAGCUCGAAUCACCAGCUAAGCCCCUAAAUGAUCGCUCAGUGAUAAUGGAGGUAAGGUACAGAGACAGCCAGGAGGUUUACCUAGAAGCAGCCACCCUUAAAAGAGUGCGUAAUAGCUCACUGAUUAAGCACUCUUGCACCAAUGAUGAAUGAGGCUAGGCAAUCUGCCAAAGCUGUGGGAUGUAAAAAUGUAUCGGUAGGGGAGCAUUCCACCUAGUGGGAAGCACCCACGCGAGCAGUGGUAGAUAAAAUGGAAGUGAGAAUGUCAGCUUGAGUAAUGCAAACAUUGGUGAGAAUCCAAUCCCAUGAGAACCUAAGGGUUCCUCUGUAAGGUUCGUCCAGGGAAAGUGAGUCAGGGCCCAAGAUAGGCCGAAAGGCAUAGUUGAUGGACAACAAGUGAAUAUUCUUGUACUACCCCUUGUUGGUCUCGAGGGAUGGACGAGGCUAGGUUAGCCAAAAGAUGGUUAUCAAUUUAAGGACACAAGGUGCCCCUGCCUUUUUAGGGUAAGAAGGGGUAGAUAAAAUGCCCCGAGCCAAUGUUCAAGUACCAGGCACUAUGGCGCCAAAGUAAACUAUGCCAUACUCCUAGGAAAAGAUCCAUCGACCUCCAACAAAAGGGUACCUGUACCCAAACCUGACACAGGUGGAUAGGUAGAGAAUACCUAGGGGUGCGAGACAAAUCUCUCUAAGGGGUGCUUCCUCAUAAAGAGGGUCGCAGUGACCAAGCUUGAGCGACUGUUUACCAAAAACACAGGUCUCCACAAAGUCAUAAGACCAUGUAUGGGGGCUAACGCAUGCCCAGUGCCAAAAGGUUAAGGAAGUUGAUGACUUGACAACAUUGGAGUCGGUGAUCGAAGCCCUGGUGAACGGCGACCAUAACUAUAAUACUCCUAAGGUAGCAAAAUUCCUUGUCUGGUAAGUUUCGACCUGCACGAAAGGCGUAAUGAUCUGGACACUGUCUUGGAGAGAACCUCGGUGAAAUAGACAUGACUGUGAAGAUGCGGACUACCUGUACCUGGAUAGAAAAACCUAUGAAGCUUCACUAUUCCUUGGGGUUGGCUUUGGGCCUUUCCUGCACAGCUUAGGUGUAGCUUAAAGAAGGCUUCCUUUUGGAGGGGCCUGAGCCAUCAAUGAGAUGCCACUCUGGAAGAGCUAGAAUUCUAACCUUGCAUCAGGAGCUACGGGCCAAAGGACAGUCUCAGGUAGACAGUUACCAUGGGGCGUAGGCCUUCCAAAAGGUAACGGAGGCAUGCAAAGGUUUCCUCAGGCUAGAUGGAGAUUGGCCCUUGAGUUGAAAGGUAGAAGGGAGCUUGACUGUAAGACCCACCCAUCGAGCAGGGACAAAUGUCGACCUUAGUGAUCUGACAGUGCCGAGUGGAAGGGCCAUCGCUUAACUAAUAAAAGUUACUCUAGGGAUGACAGGCUGUUCUUCCCCAAGAGUUCAAAUCGACGGGAAGGUUUGGCACCUCGAUGUUGGCUCUUCGCCGCUUGGGGCUGUAGUAUGUCCCAAGGGUUGGGCUGUUCACCCAUUAAAGCGGUAUGUGAGCUUCAGAACAUCAUAAGACAGUUCAGUCCAUAUCUAGUGUGGCCAUUAGAGCAUUGAGAGGACGUUUCCCUAGUAUGGGAGGACUGGGAAGGACGCACCUCUGGUGUACCAGCUAACGUGCCCACGGUAAACGCUGGGUAGCCAAGUACCAAGGGGAUAACUGUUGAAAGUAUCUAAGUAGUAAGCCCACCCUAAGAUGAGUGCUCUCCUAAUCCGAAUUCCCUAGAGCUUCCGAUAUCACAGCCAAGAUAGCGACAAGUGUUUUUGCCCAUGCGGGGGGUGAAGCGGAAGAAGUUUUGAGAAUUCAAGAGAAGAUCACAACAAGAUAAGCCAUUUAUCAUUACAAUAGGUGUCAAAUGGAAGUGCAGUGAUGUAUGCAGCCAAGGCAUCCUAACAGACCGGUAGACUUGAAC
rnacentral:rRNA from 1 species